rnacentral:rRNA from 1 species
UACGUAGGGGGCUAGCGUUGUCCGGAAUCAUUGGGCGUAAAGAGCGCGUAGGCGGCCAGAUAAGUCCGGUGUGAAAGUCACAGGCUCAACCUUUGAAUGCCGCUGGAAACUGUCUGGCUAGAGUCCGGGAGGGGCGAGUGGAAUUCCUGGUGUAGCGGUGAAAUGCGCAGAUAUCAGGAGGAACACCAAUAGCGAAGGCAGCUCGCUGGGACGUUAUUGACGCUGAGGCGCGAAAGCGUGGGGAGCAAACAGG